rnacentral:rRNA from 1 species
UACGGAGGAUGCGAGCGUUAUCCGGAUUUAUUGGGUUUAGAGGGUGCGUAGGCGGUAUGGUAAGUCAGCGGUAAAAGCCCGGGGCUCAACCCCGGCGAGCCGUUGAAACUGCCGUGCUAGAGAGGAAGAGAAGUAGGCGGAAUGCGCAGUGUAGCGGUGAAAUGCUUAGAUAUUGCGCAGAACACCGAUUGCGAAGGCAGCCUGCCGGCCCCACACUGACGCUGAGGCACGAAAGCGUGGGGAGCAAACAGG